rnacentral:rRNA from 2 species
CCCAGGUCAGGCGGGGCUACCCGCUGA